GAAAUAAAAUUCCCAAAAUUAAUAAAAAGUAAUUAAAUUAUCGCAAGCAUUUUCCCCUCGAACUAUAUUUAUUUCGGACUUAGGAUAUAAUUAUUCGUUCGUUGAAAUAUUCCGAAAUUAACUAGAUAAUUCGUCACUAUUAAUUAUCGACCCAAAGAUUUAUUUAAAAGUCCAAGACUUAAUUAUUUUCCCACCUUAUAUCUCCAAUUUAAAUUUUAAAGCCCAAAACAAAAGAAAGAAUGACCCAACUCAAACACAAAACAAAACAAAACAAAACUUUCCCCUACUCCCUCAUCUCGGUCAACUCUCUCUCUUUCUCCCUCUCACUAUUCUAAUUCCUUUCUUUUCUUCAUCUUCUUCUUCUUCAAUUUCCCCAUAUUCUACUCUUCAUGAUUCCAAUCACAAAAUUAAUCAAAUUAUUCCACCGACCCAUAGCUAACAGAUGCGAAUUGCUCAAUUCUUCCAUCACCUAAUGCUUUCAUGAGUUCUUCUGGCAGCGGAUCCCAAAUCGGCACCGAUUUCUCCCAAUUUCCGUCGGUUUCUCCAAUUCACCCCACGACGCCGGCCGCUGCUCGCCGGGAAGACAGAGUGUUGCCGCCAUGGUGCUGUCGGCGCAGUCGCCGGGUCAGGAUUCACCACCUCCGUCGCACAACGCCGCUGCUGCCGUCGGUGUGGAGGAAAUUCUGCCGCCGAUCCGCUGGGAAGAGCUGCUGCUGGAGCGCGUCCACCGCCGUCCAGCCGAGCCCCGACUGACCUCCGAACAACCCCGAAAGACUCCGACCCCAUGAAAGAUAAGUUCUAACAGUUACAGUUCAGUUUCGUUUGUGUGUUCAAUCAAAAUCUACUUCUUUUUGCGUUUUAGGUUUGAAAGAUUAAAGGGGAGUUCGAUUGGUGUUGUUUGAUUGGAGAUGCUUGUUGAUUGCAUUAUGUGGGAAGGGUGCAGGAUGAUAUGUCGUGCAUAGAAUGCUAAAAAUUCAUGCUUUCAAUUUGGAUAGAAAUUAUACCUUGAUCAGAUUUCGAAAGACAACAGGUAGCUCUCUCUCACGAAUUUGGUUCUCAAUUUCUGCCGGAAGAAGAUUAAAUGAGAUGGUUUGAAUUAUGAAAAAUAGAGGAAACUCUAUAGAAUUACCUUGAAUCUAAGUUGUGAAGAAGAAGUCUUGGUUUUCUUGCUGUAGAGAACGAGUAGAAUAGGAAAAUAAACUGAAUUGGAGAUUUAAAAUAGAGGGAGGGGUGGUUUGGAUGUGAGAGAGAUUUGGGGAGAGAGGGAACGGUUUUUCCAAUGUGGGUUUACAUUUUCGAAUUCUGCUUCUUUUUAUUUAUUUUGGAUAAAUUUGAAUUUAUUUGGUAUUUAUUUGCAGAUCACGGAGGAAGAAAAUCUCUGCAAAAUCUUUAAUUAAAAUUUUGAAUUAAAGCAGCCCACAAUUUAUUUAUCACGGACUGGAUUUCUAUAUUAUUUAUCCGAUUUAUUCGAUCCAACUCGCGGAUUGAGUCCGAUAAAUAUUCCUCACGAACAGGAAUUAUUUUAGAUUCGCGCAGUAAUUUAUUUCACAAAUCUCUAGUCCAGCAACAAUUAAUUCACCGACAAUUAAAUCACGGACUUCGAAAUAUUAUUAGCAUUAAAUGCAAGUACUUUAGGGUUCGAAAGUUAGGGUUCAAAAAGUGGGGCGUUACAGUCUUCCUCUCCGGUGCGGUGUGGUCGCCUCGGAGGGCAGCCCCGAUUACCAAGCUAAGUCCUCUUUCCCCCUUUCCCCGUUGUUUCACUGUUAUUGAGUUAUGGCAACAACUAUGUUGGGGAUUUCAUCCGAUUUUGCUGGAGGUUUUUUUUUGUUCUUAUGUUCUAAAUCUUUGAGAGCUUAUUGGAAGGAGUUUGAUUGUUUCUCUAGCAACACUAGUUACUGAUUCAUUAUAAAUCAUGUGCUAGUUAUUGCAUUGAGGUUUCAUCUAUAAUUCUAAGUCUUCAUGCUAUUUAUGUGAUUGUCUAUCUUGAUGCAACGAGGGUGUAAAGGUAGUAGCUUGUGGUUCUAGUUCUAUUACUUCUACAUGAUGACAUGAAAGAAAACAUCUAGACUUGAUGGAGCAAGAGUUACCUGUUGGGGAGUUAUGAAAAGGUGUGAAAGAGCUCCUCCUUUGCUGCCUAGUUCUCGGCUUCUCAAAGAAUAGAAGUAUGCUGAUUUUUUUGAUGUGGUGGGAGGGUGUUCAAGGUGGUGUUGAGGGGUUUAUAAAGGGUGUACAUAGGGGAGCUGGGGCGGUUGGGAGAGAACAUGGCUGCCAAGCUGCUGCUCGCGACGGGCUUGCUGCCCCGGGCCCUCGGGCUCGCUGUGGCUGAUCGGUUUGGGCUCGAAAGGGAGAGGCCCAAAGUGUAGCAAAAGAAGAGAUUUUAGUUUCUCUUUUUUUUUCUCAUUCAUGAAUAUUUGCACAAGCAUCCACUAUUCUUUUCUCUCCUUCAAUUUAAGUCCACAUGAACUUAGACAUGUAAUUGAAUGUAUUGGUCGUGGUGUAAGCGAAUACUUUGGUUCGGGAAUAAGGUCCUUAUUCAUGACGUGCUAUACUUUGUAAA